GCGCAGCAGUCGAGAAUUUUUCUCAAUGGGCGAAAGCCUGAAGGAGCGACGCCGCGUGGGGGAUGAAUGGCUUCGGCCCGUAAACCCCUGUCAUUUGUGAACAAAUUGCUUCACCUAACACGUGAAGCAUUGAUUGUAACGGAAGAGGAAGGGACGGCUAACUCUGUGCCAGCAGCCGCGGUAAUACAGAGGUCCCAAGCGUUGUUCGGAUUCACUGGGCGUAAAAGGGUGCGUAGGCGGUUUGAUAAGUCUGAUGUGAAAUCCCGCAGCUUAACUGCGGAACUGCAUUGGAAACUGUUUGACUAGAGGAAUGGAGGGGAGACUGGAAUACUUGGUGUAGCAGUGAAAUGCGUAGAUAUCAAGUGGAACACCAGUGGCGAAGGCGAGUCUCUGGACAUUUCCUGACGCUGAGGUACGAAAGCCAGGGGAGCAAACGGGAUUAGAUACCCGUGUAGU
rnacentral:rRNA from 1 species